rnacentral:rRNA from 1 species
CGAACGCUGGCGGCGUGCUUAACACAUGCAAGUCGGACGGUGAAGCGCCUUCCUUUUUGGUGGGUGUGGAUGAGUGGCGAACGGGUGAGUAACACGUGAGUAACCUGCCCCCUUCUUCUGGAUAACCGCAUGAAAGUGUGGCUAAUACGGGAUAUUCUGGGUCUGUCGCAUGAUGGGUCUGGGAAAGAUAUUGUUUCGGUGGGGGAUGGGCUCGCGGCCUAUCAGCUUGUUGGUGGGGUGAUGGCCUACCAAGGCGGUGACGGGUAGCCGGCCUGAGAGGGUGGACGGUCACACUGGGACUGAGACACGGCCCAGACUCCUACGGGAGGCAGCAGUGGGGAAUAUUGCACAAUGGGCGCAAGCCUGAUGCAGCGACGCCGCGUGAGGGAUGGAGGCCUUCGGGUUGUGAACCUCUUUCGCCAGUGAAGCAGGCCUGCCUCGUUUGUGGGUGGGUUGACGGUAGCUGGAUAAGAAGCGCCGGCUAACUACGUG